rnacentral:rRNA from 1 species
AGUUCGAUUAUGGCUCAGAUUGAACGCUGGCGGGAUGCUUUACAUGCAAGUCGAACGGCGGCACGGAACAGGUGUGGUGGCGAGAGUGGCGAACGGGUGAGUAAUGUAUCGGAACGUGCCUAGUAGCGGGGGAUAACUACGCGAAAGCGUAGCUAAUACCACAUACGCCCUUCGAGAAAGCGGGGACCUUCGGGCCUCGCACUAUUAGAGCAGCGAAAUAUCGGAUUGCUUCGAUUGGUGGGGUAACGGCUCGCAAGGCGACGAUCCGUAGCUGGUUUGAAGGACGACCAAUAACACUGGGACUGAGACACGGCCCGAACCUGCGGGAGGCAGCAGUGGGGAGCCCUGGACAAUGGAAACCCUGAUCCCAGCCAUCACGUGUGCGAUGAAGGCCUUCAGGUUGUAAACGCGCGGCGGGAAAGAAACGGCCUGGGAUAAUACCCCCGUGCAACUGACAGUACCUGCAGAACCAGCACCGGCUAACUACGUGCAACCAGCCGUAAUGCGUAGAAGUGCAAGCAUUAAUCAGAAUUACUGGGCGUAAAGCGUGCGCGAGCGGUUCGGGGAAAGAAAGAUGUGAAAUCCCAGAGCUUAACUUUGGAACUGCAUUUUUAACUACCGACUAGGUGUGUCAGAGGGAGGUGGAAUUCCGCGUGUGGCAGUGAAAUGUGAGUAUGCGAACACCGAUAGCGAAAAACCUCUGGGAUAACACUGACGCUCAUGCACGAAAAGCGUGGGAGCAAACAGGAUUGAAUACCCUGGUAGUCCACGCCUAAACGAUGUCAACUAGCUGUUGGGGCCCUUCGGGCCUUGGUGAUGCAGCUAGCAGUGAAGUUGACCGCCUGGGAGUACGGUCGCAAGAUUAAAACUCAAAGGAAAUUGACGGGGACCCGCACAAGCGGUGGAUGAUGUAGUUAAUUCGAUGCAACGCGAAAAACCUUACCUACCCUUGACAUUAUCUUGAAUCCCGAAGAGAUUUGGGAGUGCUCGCAAGAGAACCGAGACACAGGUGCUGCAUGGCUGUCGUCAGCUCGUGUCGUGAGAUGUUAGGUUAAGAGAUCCCGCAACGAGCGCAACCCAUGACUCCAUUAGUUGCUACGAAAGGGCACUCUAAUGAGACUGCCGGUGACAAACCGGAGGAAGGUGGGGAUGACGUCGUCCUCAUAGCCCUUAUGGGUAAGACUACGUCAUACAAUGGUCAGGACAGAGGGUCGCCAACCCGCGAGGAGCCAAUCCCAGAAACCCGAUCGUGGUCGAAUCGCAGUCCUGCAACUCGACUGCGUGAAGUCCAGAAUCAACAAUCGCGGAUCAGCGCCAUCGCGGUGAAUACGUUUGGGUCUUCUUUCUUGUCACACCAUGGGAAUUAGGUUUUACCAAGUAGUUAGCCUAACCGUAAGGAGAAGGCGUUACCACAGUAGGAUUCAUGACUGGGGUGAAGUCGUAACAAGUAG